GUGCCACAUAUAAGAAACUCACUUCAUUUCUGCAGAAAUUUAGAAAAAGCUGGCAAUAGUAAUGCCGUGUUAUGAAUCUUAAGGACAUUGAAGUCACUGAGGUACCUGAAAAUGGCAACAACA
ensembl:snoRNA